rnacentral:lncRNA from 1 species
AGGAACACCGUCUACUGAAAGAAUAUGCCAGUACAGAAGCAACUUUUACUCCAUGGUCCAUCAAAGCCUGAAAACAAUGAUGAAGCAGAUGUCUUUUAUCUAAAGCUCGCAGCACCUUUGCAAAAACUUCUAGUUCACAAAAUUCACUCCCCAGUUGGCAUAAGCGGCCCUGUUGGUAAAGCUUGUAAUACACGUCGAACUGGAUGUUCUCGGGCAGCGAGCGGAUGUCCCGGCGCCGGGCCCGCCCGUAACUAUCCACCACGGCCGAGAUCGCCGUGUUAUAGAGCGUCUCGGGCACCCACUCCAGCUCCACCGCCGCCAUCUUGGGUGUGCGGAGCCGCCUUCCCCCCACCCCCCGCCCGGCCCGCUCCGCCUCGCGGCUCCCGCAGCCCC